rnacentral:rRNA from 1 species
GUGGGGAAUAUUGGACAAUGGGGGAAACCCUGAUCCAGCAACGCCGCGUGGGUGAUGAAGGCCUUCGGGUCGUAAAGCCAUGUUGGGGGGAAAGAACGCACAUGGGUAACGCCAUGUGUUGACGUUACUCCCUGAGGAAGCACCGGCUAACUCUGUGCCAGCAGCCGCGGUAAUACAGAGGGUGCAAGUGUUGUUCGGAAUCAUUGGGCGUAAAGGGCGCGUAGGCGGCGAGAUAAGUCAGAUGUGAAAGCCCUGGGCUUAACUCAGGAAAUGCAUUUGAAACUAUCUUGCUUGAGUGCGGGAGAGGGUAGUGGAAUUCCCGGUGUAGAGGUGAAAUUCGUAGAGAUCGGGAGGAACACCAGUGGCGAAAGCGGCUACCUGGUCCGCAACUGACGCUGAGGCGCGAAAGCGUGGGGAGCAAACAGGAUUAGAAACCCGUGUAGUCC